GACGAACGCUGGCGGCGUGCCUAAUACAUGCAAGUAGAACGCAGUUGCGAACGGGUGAGUAACGCGUAGGUAACUGCCUCAUAGCGGGGGAUAACUAUUGGAAACGAUAGCUAAUACCGCAUACUGUGAGAUGGACCUGCGUUGUUUUAGCUAGUUGGUGAGGUAAAGGCUCACCAAGGCGACGAUAAAUAGCCGAGCUGAGAGGGUGGACGAGCAAACUUGGAAUGGAGAAAGGGCCAGGAUCCUAAGGGAGGGAGGCGUAGGGAAGCAUCGGACAUGGGCGGAAGGCUGGACGAGCAACGCCGGGUGAGUGAAGAAGGUUUUCGGAUCGUAAAGCUCUGUUGUUAGAGGAGCGGUAACUAACCAGAAAGGGACGGCUAACUACGAGCCAGCCGCCGCGGUAAUUC
rnacentral:rRNA from 1 species